AAAAAAAAAAAAAAAAAGGAAAGCGAAGCAACACCAAGAAAAAGAAGAAAAAGAAGAAUUGACUUAGAGAAUCAGAAAGAUUGAAAGCCUUUGCUUACAGUAGUACUAUGCCAAUUUCUUAUAUAUAUUAAAGAUUUGAAUUUGCUCAUACAAAUAUGGUUAGGGUUUGAUGUUUGAAGCAGUGAGAGAGAGAGACAGUAACAAUGUGUCUGCAAAUGACAACUAAGGGCUUUUAGUUAAAGUAGAGAUGGUGGUGGUUUAUCAGUUGUUUUUAUUUUUAUUUAUUUAUUUU
rnacentral:misc_RNA from 1 species